GAUGAACGCUGGCGGCGUGCCUAAUACAUGCAAGUCGAGCGAACAGACGAGGAGCUUGCUCCUCUGACGUUAGCGGCGGACGGGUGAGUAACACGUGGAUAACCUACCUAUAAGACUGGGAUAACUUCGGGAAACCGGAGCUAAUACCGGAUAAUAUAUUGAACCACAUGGUUCAAUAGUGAAAGACGGUUUUGCUGUCACUUAUAGAUGGAUCCGCGCCGCAUUAGCUAGUUGGUAAGGUAACGGCUUACCAAGGCAACGAUGCGUAGCCGACCUGAGAGGGUGAUCGGCCACACUGGAACUGAGACACGGUCCAGACUCCUACGGGAGGCAGCAGUAGGGAAUCUUCCGCAAUGGGCGAAAGCCUGACGGAGCAACGCCGCGUGAGUGAUGAAGGUCUUCGGAUCGUAAAACUCUGUUAUUAGGGAAGAACAAAUGUGUAAGUAACUAUGCACGUCUUGACGGUACCUAAUCAGAAAGCCACGGCUAACUACGCG
rnacentral:rRNA from 1 species